rnacentral:rRNA from 1 species
GGCGAACGGGUGAGUAACACGUGGGCAAUCUGCCCUUCACUCUGGGACAAGCCCUGGAAACGGGGUCUAAUACCGGAUAACACUGCGGACUGCAUGGUCUGCGGUUAAAAGCUCCGGCGGUGAAGGAUGAGCCCGCGGCCUAUCAGCUUGUUGGUGGGGUAAUGGCCUACCAAGGCGACGACGGGUAGCCGGCCUGAGAGGGCGACCGGCCACACUGGGACUGAGACACGGCCCAGACUCCUACGGGAGGCAGCAGUGGGGAAUAUUGCACAAUGGGCGAAAGCCUGAUGCAGCGACGCCGCGUGAGGGAUGACGGCCUUCGGGUUGUAAACCUCUUUCAGCAGGGAAGAAGCGAAAGUGACGGUACCUGCAGAAGAAGCGCCGGCUAACUACGUGCCAGCAGCCGCGGUAAUACGUAGGGCGCAAGCGUUGUCCGGAAUUAUUGGGCGUAAAGAGCUCGUAGGCGGCUUGUUGCGUCGAUUGUGAAAGCCCGGGGCUUAACCCCGGGUCUGCAGUCGAUACGGGCAGGCUAGAGUGUGGUAGGGGAGAUCGGAAUUCCUGGUGUAGCGGUGAAAUGCGCAGAUAUCAGGAGGAACACCGGUGGCGAAGGCGGAUCUCUGGGCCAUUACUGACGCUGAGGAGCGAAAGCGUGGGGAGCGAACAGGAUUAGAUACCCUGGUAGUCCACGCCGUAAACGUUGGGAACUAGGUGUUGGCGACAUUCCACGUCGUCGGUGCCGCAGCUAACGCAUUAAGUUCCCCGCC